UACGUAGGGGGCGAGCGUUGUCCGGAUUUAUUGGGCGUAAAGAGCGUGUAGGCGGCCAGGUAGGUCCGUUGUGAAAACUCGAGGCUCAACCUCGAGACGUCGGCGGAAACCCUCUGGCUAGAGUCCGGAAGAGGAGAGUGGAAUUCCUGGUGUAGCGGUGAAAUGCGCAGAUAUCGGGAAGAACACCCGUGGCGAAGGCGGCUCUCUGGGACGGUACUGACGCUGAGACGCGAAAGCGUGGGGAGCAAACAGG
rnacentral:rRNA from 1 species